UUUGCACUCAAAGUACUGUCAGGUUUAGAUAUACAAUUGAAUAGUUUUCAUGAUAUUAUGCUGAUAAUAAAGGCUGAUUUGACCAUGCCAGGUAUUAAACAUACAUCUCCAGGGAUGAACAGUUAAUUAGCCGACACUUGAAUCCACUGAACCCUAACAAUUUUCUAGAACAAACUUAAUUUGAUGAUCACUUUCAGAGGAACCAUCGAUAAAUGAACAUGUCUAUUCACUGAACUUAAUUUUGCAGAACUGAUAAUGCAAUGUUGGGCUAAAAAGUGUGUUUUGUCAACAAUUUUCAAAUUUUAGGUAAGAAAAUAUUUAUGUGCC